rnacentral:lncRNA from 1 species
GUGCAUAUCCAACAUUCUCUUCACUCCCAAAUCCUGGGGACAGGAAGAAACUGUUGAACAUUUUGAAUCACCGAAUCAAAUGUGACAAAAUCUCUGCUAAGGUUUGGCUAAGAAUGUAGAAUGUGGGAGUGUUGCUUCCUGGAAUAGUAAAAGCAGCCCCGAUUUAAGGAAGGCAUCUAGAAUCAUCUGUUUUCUAGCUGACUACUCAGGUAAGUACUUACGGGGCUUCCUCUUUGAUAAGAGAAUCAGAUGG